rnacentral:lncRNA from 1 species
UGAAAUCAUCCACUGCAACCCUUACGCCUUGAAGAAUCAUUUUCAGCAGCAGAAGCAGGCAUGGAGGGUGUUGAGAUCAUCUCAUUCUGUGAUAUCAUCCCCAAUUAACACUGUUUUUCAUUCAGUCAUGAGCCUUCAUUUUGUUACCAACGUUAAUUUGCUUGUGAGUAGUAAAACAAACUAUCACUUCCCUCUUCUCCAUAGUUUCUGCUGUAAUAUUGUUGGCUGAAUGACGGACAGGAAGGUAGAUCCAACAACAAGACCUCAAGCUCUUCGUAGCUUGAUUUGCUCACUCAAAAUCCUAGACUGUAAACAAAAAAAUAACACGGAUAACUGACAUGAUGAAUGUAGAUCAUUGGUAUACUCGUCGAACCACACAACUUACAGGUAUAGUCAAUGGCGACAACUGGAGAGGUGUUGGUAAGGAUUAUGUCUAUGGUGUAGGCGUGUAGGUGUUUCUGGAGGAGCUGCUCGCCUGCUCUUUAAUUUCCUGGUUCAGAUGUUCAAACCUCUGAACCGUUAGAUAAUGAAACCACUUUACAAAGCAAGCCAAGUCGAACAUGUUCAACAAUCAAGCUCAACGCUUCUAUAAGCCCGUAUCAUGGAGUUCAUCCCCACAUCUUGUAGAUCGUCAGGAAGACAUUGAACAAGUAUAUGAAAGUUUGAACUGAGACAUUUUAUCAUUACUUUCAGCAUUGCCAACCAUCCUCAUUUGAUAUCUAUUCUUUUCAAAAAAAUAAAAAAUCAUAUUUUUCUCCCUCAAUGUGAAAGUUUCACUAAUAUGUUAAUCAACAUAAGAUUGAGAAUUGCAAGAUUCAUUAGAUUCUAAAACAUUUAUCCAAGCUACAUUACAAAUUUAUAGGAUACUAGGAUAGUGUAAAACCACUUUCACUUGAAGAAUUAGGAAAACUGAAAAGGGAGUUGCUUCAAACUUAGGGCAAAGUCCACUGACCCUAGGCUAUAAGCCUAUAAUGCAAAACAGAUGGGUUAAUUACUUAAUAAAAAAAAUAUCACAGGACUCCAUGUGAAAUGGAUGAAAAAUAAAAAUCCGUACAUUUUCAGAAACAUUCAUCAAAACUUAGAUAUGGUCCCCAUCCUAGGCUCCCAUUCCCAUGAACCCUAGUUCUCUCUGUAUGGCUUGCAAAUCCAGAUUCCUAAGACAUUCCUUGUCCCCGUGCAUAUUUGCUUUUCCAAUACAUGAUCCAAAAACUUUUAUCAAAAGUUUGACUUAGAAAGAGGUUGAGAGAUCAACCUUCUUUAUAAUUAGUAGAUUAAUCCUUAAAUAGAGUAUUAGAUAUAUCAAUCAACGAAAACAUCAUCUUGUUUACUAAAGUAGAGAAUAAUAGCAGCAACUUUGAAAACCUUAGUGUCGAAUCACCAAGUAAGCCCCGUGAUCAGUUAACUAUUUUCGACUUAUUGAGUGUCCAAAACCUGCUUCUUAGUCCAAUCCAUAAAACCUACAAGAUUGCAAUAAAAAGGUGAGUUAGCCAUGUGUUAAUGGUCACAAGUAGACUAAAACAGUAAAACUCAGACUUUUCAUUUUUUCCUUCAUCCUGUUCUUGAUGAAAGAUUAACUAUUGUUUAUCUCUAAUCAAUAUUUGUGUAGCUUGCCGACAAUCGACAGGUGGCAACAUCUUUCUUGCCUGCCUUUGCUCUCUCUUUCCUUGCCAAGCUUUCUUAUUCCUAUCAACUUUGAUCUAACCCAUGAUGAUCCAUGCAAUUUGCUCCUCGUUUUUCACCUUCCUCUUUCCUUUUUUCCCUCUUCACUUCUUUAAAGAAAGAUCAUUCCUUCAUUCAUGAUCCCGUUACACUUUUACACUAAUAAGUACGAAAUAUUGGUAUUAAACUGGCAAGCAUCCUACCACCACGCAGUCCUAUGUCAUACAUUUUUUUGUUCGAUACAAUGACACAAGUUUUCUUAGACCCUUAAGACAUUCGAAUAGCCUAUUCAAUCGAAGUUAUACUACAACAGGUAAACUGAUGUAUGUAAAUUAAAACCAGCUGUAAGGUCAAAUGAAAUAAGCAAGAUCACAAGUUAUUACGAGAUAAUAUAUUCAGCUUAAAUUUUAUUAAAGGCGAAUUUUAUUCAGUUUUAAGUGAUGAAGAUUUCCACUUUGAAACUUCGGAGCACAAUUGUAUGUAAAUACUAUAUUCUGGAGAAACCUCUUGAUCCAUAUACUCGUUAAAUAACAACUUCUACUUCAUCUUAGAGGGCAUGAAUAAAAUUAUACGCUCCUUCAACUAUAAAGACUCACUUUUUAAAAACAAAUCAGCAGAAGCGGCGCUGCAUCUCCAAACGGCCUUUUAGUUGGUGAAGCCUUCAUUGCACCCCGGCCCCGCCAAGUUUUCCUAGAAAAAGCACCAACACCUAGCUGCGCAGUGAACAUAACCAUAAUUGGCUCCCUGAAGCCAUGAUUACACAAGCACACAAAAACCACCACCAUAAACUAAGUAAAUUAAUCAGCCACCAGAGCUAAAGGCACACGAAAAGCUAUGUAUAAUGAUUAUUGAAAAGGCAGACUUCAUUUAUUUGUUAACUCAGUUCUACUACAGACCACAGUAUAACCAAGCCAGAUAAACCUUAAAUCUUAUUCUCCCCGCACAACGCAUUCAUACAGUAUAGAGUUUUGCAAUGAAGGCGGUCACGUGAUUCGUGAUGCUAUGUUAUUUUUGCUUACAAUCAAUUGCAGUUGCAGGGAGAUCAAAGAAACCAUAAAUUACUUUUUCCUAGAACAAAAGCAUAAAGGGACAUUCAUGUACAAGAUUAGGCUAAAUGGACAAUUAACAUGUACUUCGAAUAUCACCGACUCUACGUAGGUAUGAGUAAAUGCCAGUUAAUUAGUACUUUGAGUUAGUAAAGAAGGGUUUAAGUUUUCCUAUAAAUGACGGGGACCAGUUAGUUAAUCAGUGAGUCAACAUAGCCAAUAGAUCAAUAGCAGUUAAUUCAACCUUUCGCCUUUCAGUUCAGAAACAAUACAAGAGAAGUGAUGAUGUUAAUGAUCAUGGUGUCCGCAAGAGGCAAACACUGAUGAUAAUAGCAUGAUAACAUUCUGCAGAUCCGUCCAGGGUUUUGGCUUCUGGCUCGUGGAGGGAUAGGAAAGUAGAUAAAAUAGCCCAUUAAACUAAACCCACACCCACCAUUACCAUUAUAAACAAUUCGUAAUUCCUGUCACAGUUUGUGGGGCAAAUUGAGUUCAUUGUUUUUCUCAUAAAUCUUCACAUUGGGUUUAAUUCUAGAGGAGCAAUUGCCAUGUGGUGAGCUCAGAUAUCGGCACAUGGCUCCCCAAGUAUCUAUGCACCACCCUCUUCUUCCCCUGCAACCCCUACUACUUGCUACUGUCACCCAAUGCAGGGGAACCAGCUGUUUUGGGGUUUCCUAGGAGAAUCCCUAAGUUUAUAUAAUCAGGUCCUAUGCAGAAAAAAACAAGCAACACAAACAGUACAACACCCUCCAAUCCCAAAUUAAUUUAUCUGGUUAAGAGAACCCUCACAGUGCUUUGCUUUUACUUCCCACUUCACAAACUCACACUUCCCAAGCUUCAUCCAAAAGCCAUAAACAACCAACUUUCCUCACGUCUCCACAUUCCUUCUUCAUACCUCAAAUCCUCAAUUCUUCACUUCCUUAGUCCUCGCCGACUAGUUCCACCUCCAUCUAUCUUUACCCCCCUUCAAUCCUCUAGAUCCCCAAAAGGAAAGGAGUGGGAAAUUAUCGCACAUUCUCAACAUUGCCAUUACAUAUAUAAAUAUCCUCCCAUCUUACCCUCAGUCCCUAUGUGCAAAACUUCCCACUUCUUGCACCCUACCUCUCAUUUCAAGUUGAUCAACCCUAAAAUAUGACCUUCUGUUUCUGCAGAACCCACAUUUACCCCAUAUCUCUCCUUCCCCUAAUUCUCCCAACCCUCCUUGGGUAUGGAUUCCAAACUCCCAUCUUCCUCGCUGCAUUAUCACUUGUGAUUUUACCCAUGCUGAAACUCAGUAUGUCAAGAACAGCCCCAAUUACAUACAAGCCCGCAGUUGAUGAAAUCUUAGAACCCGAAACCAUUCAGCACGAAAGUUCACAAGCGGAAGACCAAAGUUCCAUAAUGGAAGAACAAGAGGAAGAGGAAUACGAGGUGAGAAGAGAGCUAACCGACGGCGAGUGCCAGGGGAGGCUAUCGUCGACGACAAGCGAGGAAUCGGAGGUGGACUACUGGCCGUUUCAAGGGAACAUGUUCCAGAGCCCCGAUUGCUUCGACACCGGAUACAUCUCUGACGAGGAAAGCCUGAUUGAGAUUGCA